rnacentral:rRNA from 1 species
UUGAUCGCCGUCGGCGUAAGGUGUGGUUAGAGUAAAAACUAGAGUAAAACUAAAAGAAAACGGAGCAGUGUAACGCCAACCACCGUAUGUCGGAGAACCAGAAACGAAAGUAGUUUUAUACAUCUUGAUUCCACGAAGGCUAAGAAACAAACUGGGACUAGAUACCCCACUAUGCUUAGCUGUAAACAAUGAUGGGACCUCACACUCAACCCAUCCGCCCGGAUACUACGAGCGCAAGCUUAAAACCCAAAGGACUUGGCGGUGCUUUAGACCCAACUAGAGGAGCCUGUUCUCCAACCGACACUUCCCGUUAAACCUCACCCUUUCUCGUAACUUACAGCCUGUAUACCGCCGUCGCCAGCCUACCCUAUGAUGGACCCGCAGUGAGCUUGAACGAUAACCCUACUCCAGAAUGACAGGUCGAGGCGCAGCUUAUGAAAGGGGCUAAGAAUGGGCUACAUUCGCUUACUUCAAGCGCAUACGGAAACUUAACACUGAAAUACAUAGGUUGAAGGUGGAUCUAGCAGUAAGAGGGGAAUAGCGUGCCCCUCUGAAGCAGGCCAGAAAGCGCGCACACACCGCCCGUCACUCUCCCUUAGCCACAUACCACGGUAACAUCAUUUUAUUCCAAAAGGU